rnacentral:rRNA from 1 species
GACAGAGGGUGCAAACGUUGCUCGGAAUCACUGGGCGUAAAGGGCGUGUAGGCGGCUUGUUAAGUCUUGCGUGAAAUCUCGGGGCUCAACCCCGAGCGGUCGUGAGAAACUGGCAGGCUAGAGUGCGGGAGAGGAGAGUGGAAUUCCUGGUGUAGCGGUGAAAUGCGCAGAUAUCAGGAGGAACACCGGUGGGCGAAGGCGGGUCUCUGGGCCGGAUACUGACGCU